UGAACAACAUUUGGACCGUUGGUCUACCGAGCAAUAUCACCCGCUUGGUGGAAGAUCUUCUCUUUGUCGUAUAUC
rnacentral:pre_miRNA from 1 species